rnacentral:tRNA from 1 species
UCGAAGGUAGUUCAACUGGCAGAACACCGGCUGUUUACAUCGCGCGGCCGGAAUAGAGGUUCAAGUCCUCUCCUUCGAG